rnacentral:rRNA from 1 species
CGUAGGCGGCUUCGUAAGUCUGGUGUGAAAUCUCACGGCUCAACCGGGAGGCUGCACCAGAUACUGCGAAGCUCGAGGACGGGAGAGGAGAUCGGAAUUCCCGGUGUAGCGGUGAAAUGCAUUGAUAUCGGGAGGAACACCAGUGGCGAAGGCGGAUCUCUGGCCCGUUGCUGACGCUGAGGUGCGAAAGCUGGGGGAGCGAAAGGGAUUAGAUACCCCUGUAGUCCCAGCCCUAAACGAUGGGCGCUAGGUGUUGGGGGAUUAACCCUCGGCGCCGCAGCUAACGCAUUAAGCGCCCCGCCUGGGGAGUACGGCCGCAAGGUUGAAACUCAAAGGAAUUGACGGGGGCCCGCACAAGCGGUGGAGCAUGUGGAUUAAUUCGAUACAAACCGAAGAACCUUACCUGGGCUUGACAUCCACGAGCAACGUCUGGAAACAGGCGCCUCGGGAAACUGACCCGUGGACACCGGUUGCAUGGCUGUCGUCAGCUCGUGCCGUGAGGUGUUGGGUUAAGUCCCGCAACGAGCGCAACCCUUGUCCUCUGUUGCCAGCGGGUUAUGCCGGGCACUCUGAGGAGACUGCCGUGGUCAACACGGAGGAAGGUGGGGACGACGUCAAGUCAGCAUGGCGGUUACGUCCAGGGCGUCACACAUGCUACAAUGGGUGGUACAAAGGGCAGCCAACGCGCGAGCGGGAGCGAAUCCCAAAAAACCACCCUCAGUUGGGAUCGCAGUCUGCAACUCGACUGCGUGAACGCGGAAUCGCUAGUAACGGCGGGUCAGCCAUACCG